rnacentral:lncRNA from 1 species
UGCUAGCUGACCAACGACUUAAGAAGGUCAAAUACAGACAAAUAUGUGUUGGAGAAAAAACGGCAGAUGUCAUACAUAAAAGAAUAGGAGAUAUUCAAUAAAUCUAUUUUGGAAUUGCAAUUACAAAGCAAGCUAAAUAUAUCUGUAAAGAUAUAAUAUACCUAAAAUGAACGUCUGCCGUACCUAGAGAAUUAUAAAAUAGAACCAAGCUUUUAAUAUCCCACAAAGACAACUUAUAUGGAAAAUGCACUAAGAAUAACAUUCCUAUUAAUUAUCUGGAACGUAAAUCUUCCCUAAGAUGUGUAUACUCAUAGAGCCGCUUACCGUCUGAUAAACCGGCACGUCCAUAAGCCAACACUUGGAAUUAGAGCUGAAGGAAUUUCAUCUAGAUUGGAACAAAGAUAAGUGUACUUAAUUAAUGUUCUCAUUUAUAGACCGAAUUGUGUUCCGCAAUAUAUUAUAUAUUUAUUCUA